rnacentral:rRNA from 1 species
AUUGAACGCUGGCGGAAUGCUUUACACAUGCAAGUCGAACGGUAGAGGGGGCAACCCCUCGAGAGUGGCGAACGGGUGAGUAAUAUAUCGGUACGUGCCCAGUCGUGGGGGAUAACGUAGCGAAAGUUACGCUAAUACCGCAUACGAUCUAAGGAUGAAAGCGGGGGAUCGCAAGACCUCGCGCGAUUGGAGCGGCCGAUAUCAGAUUAGGUAGUUGGUGGGGUAAAGGCUCACCAAGCCAACGAUCUGUAGCUGGUCUGAGAGGACGACCAGCCACACUGGAACUGAGACACGGUCCAGACUCCUACGGGAGGCAGCAGUGGGGAAUUUUGGACAAUGGACGCAAGUCUGAUCCAGCCAUUCCGCGUGCAGGAUGAAGGCCCUCGGGUUGUAAACCGCUUUUGUACGGAACGAAAAGGUCUCUCUUAAUACGGGGGACUCAUGACGGUACCGUAAGAAUAAGCACCGGCUAACUACGUGCCAGCCGCCGCCGUAA